rnacentral:lncRNA from 1 species
GCUGUGUUAUAUACUGCAAUGAACCCAAGGGAACUAGAUCCAACUGGAAACAUAUUACCUAUUGGGUCUCCCCUCAACUCACCCUCUUUGUCCUCAGCAAGACUCUCCCCAAGUCGUAUCCCUCUUUCUCCUUCCUCUUCCCGUCUUUCACCAUGUCCAGUUACCUCAGGCUCUUCUCCCUCCCAUCUCUCACCAUUAUCCACUUCUCCUUCUCGUCUCAGUCCGUCUUCUCACUUUAUUUCAUCGUACUCUCCUGUUCGUCUGUCUCCCUGUCCCCCUUGUGACCCAUCUACCUCACCCACUAGCGUGUCCCCCUGUCCCAUACCUCUUUCCCCCUCUUUUGUCUUAAAAAAGCCCAUCCAUAUUUCCUCCUUCAGUCAGACCGGGCAAAGCUUGGAACAUCAGAACCUGAUUGAUAGUUCUCCACAAAGUAUCAUCAAUACAGUGGAUACAUCCCUAAAUUCACCACAACUGAAGUCAGUCAAGACUUCUUCUCAAUUAGACAAAACAAUUAGAGUGCUACCAACUGACGAAAACAAACCAUUACAUUCUACUGAUAUGCGUGGUAAAGCAAGGCCAGUAGAAAACAAAAUAUCUAGAUUCAUGCCCAUUUUAUCCACUGAGAGAAGCGUGAGAUCAAUCCCCAUAUCCAACACGGGGGGUCAAAAAAAGCAAACUGGCCUACAAAAAGAUCCAUUCAGACCUCCACAGCAGGAUAAACUAAAGCAAAAUUCGAACAUCUGUUGCAGGGGAGUUACCAAGUCUUCAAUGUCUGAAAGCUUAAGCCCUAAAAACCUCAGACAUGUUGAAAAAAAUGCAUUCAGACCACAAAAUUUAGCUAGCUAUCAAAAGAAGUGCCAAUCCCAAGACCCUACUCUAGUUCGAAUCCGGCUUGGAUUGAUUAAAACAGGCAGGAUUAUAAACUCUGGUGCCCAGUUUUCUAAUCUGGAGAAGAUCAAGAAAAGCAGUGAAGGGAACAACCCAAAAAUUCAGAGCGAUGGACAUCCUGCUGUUUCGGAGAAGUUAAAACAACCUGUUCGUUCAAAGAUAAUGUUAGGGGCAGCCAAGCAGAUAAUAAGUCCCACCAUGAUGUGUGAGAGGAGCUGUGGGAAACCUCAAAACCACCCACAAGUUUCAGCUGAAGGAACAAGACAACUCUCCACACAGUCAGCACUUACAAAUCCAAUCUCAU